rnacentral:rRNA from 1 species
GACGAACGCUGGCGGCGUGCCUAAUACAUGCAAGUCGAGCGCUGAAGGAUGGUACUUGUACCAACUGGAUGAGCAGCGAACGGGUGAGUAACGCGUGGGGAAUCUGCCUUUGAGCGGGGGACAACAUUUGGAAACGAAUGCUAAUACCGCAUAAAAACUUUAAACACAAGUUUCAAGUUUGAAAGAUGCAAUUGCAUCACUAAAAGAUGAUCCCGCGUUGUAUUAGCUAGUUGGUGAGGUAAAGGCCCACCAAGGCGGAGGUACAUAGCCGGCCUGAGAGGGUGGUCGGCCACAUUGGGACUGAGACACGGCCCAAGCUCCUUCGGGGGGCAGCAGUAGGGAAUCUUCGGCAAUGGGCGGAAGUCUGACCGAGCAACGCCGCGUGAGGGAAGGAGGUUUUCGGAUCGUAAAACUCUGUUGGUAGGGAAGAACGUUGGUGAGGGUGGAACGCUCAUGAAGUGACGGUAACUACCCAGAAAGGGACGGCUAACUACGUG